UACGGGGGGAGCAAGCGUUGUUCGGAUUUACUGGGCGUAAAGGGCGCGUAGGCGGCCACCGCAAGUCGGUUGUGAAAUCUCUGGGCUUAACCCAGAAAGGUCAACCGAUACUGCGGGGCUAGAGUGCAGAAGGGGCAACUGGAAUUCUCGGUGUAGCGGUGAAAUGCGUAGAUAUCUGGAGGAAUACCGGUGGCGAAGGCGGCAUCCUGGACCGAGAUUGACGCUGAGGAGCGAAAGCUAGGGGAGCAAACGGG
rnacentral:rRNA from 1 species